AUCCUAAGGGCCUGAUGCAAAGCUCACUGAAGUCAGUGAGAAUCUUUCCGUUGACUUCAGUGGGUUUUGGAUCAAGCCCUAAAUAC
rnacentral:pre_miRNA from 1 species